ACAAUCAUCACUUAUGUUGCUGUGAGCUCGAUUAUUAAUUAAGUUGGUACGUGAAGUUAACCUUCUAACUUACUACUGAAGCUGCUCAUAACUCAACCUCUUCCUCAGUCCAGUUGAGUUCUGUAGUGUUUUAAUUUCCCGAAAACAAAAAAAUUUUCCAAUAUCAUUAAAUAGGAUGUUGAGAAAAAGAAUAUGUGCCACAUAUAAAUAUCAUUGUUGAAUUGCUGACUUGACAAUUAAUGCUAGGCCUACGAUGCAAUAGUAAUCUAACCGUAAACAUAAUUUUACGAACGAUUAGUAUGUAAUUACUGGACUUUUAGAAGAAUUCUGAAUAUUCGCACAUAAAAAAUAUUAUUCGACAGAUUCCAUCGUUUCACAUGAGUUUACAUGAAAUGCGCUCAUUAUCAAAUUUGAUGUGAUGAACAUUAAUUAGAUAAAAAUGGUUUCAUUGUUAGUUGAAUGCGUUUGUUCCGAGUUUCUCCUUAACAAUAUACAGUUAAUGAUCUUAUUGUUGUUGCUGUUGAAGUACACAGCACUUAAGUACAACUUUUGAGUGCUCUAAACUUUAGCGUGACCAGCAAAAGAGAGGUCAAUACACUUAAAACCAAAAACGACUUUAUUCGAAUUCACUAAAAGGAUUUUUUAGAUUCUUGGUCCAGUACAGUGAAACGUAAAAUCUGAAAUAUUCAAGGAUUCGUGAAGAUUUGGAAGCAAAUAGUUUUUAAUCUCAUUAAAUAUAUAUUUUAUUUUUUAAAAAGAUUACAGAUUAUAGAAGCAUAGUUUUACGAAAUUGAAAGUUAGCAUUUUCG